CAGCCAGUGGUGAAUUAGCAGAUGAACGCACCCAAGCACUGCCGGGCUCUCAGAUACAGAUGGCUCCCACGGGAAGUGUGACACAGGAGCACAGACAUGAAUGUGCACGUGGGCAGAGAUACACACACAUGCCCAGAGGGCGUGAGUCACAGAGAAGAGGCAGAGGGCCAUGGCGAGCUCCACGCUGACAACCCCAGCCCUGGCUACAUUCUUAGAUGCCCAACUUCAGUAGCACCUGGUACCAGGUACCUGCUUGGUUUGGCCACCCUGGAGCUUCUGGAAAGGUGAAUGGAUGUCAUCUUCAACUCGAGCACUUUAAGGAAACAGAUUUUCUGCUGACACCUUCACACCAACAUCCUGCUCUGCUCCAUCUCAAGGACUCACCCCUGAUAGUCAUUCGAAGAUCCACCCUCCCCCUACCCCCAAAACCUGUCCCUCUUCCCUCAUUACUGGACCACCAUCAGGGGUCCAGGCAGCCACCAUCCUUUGCCUGGAUCCCUGCAGUUCCUGGCAACUGCCUUCCCUGCCUCCAAUUUUACCCUCUCCCCAUUCAUUCUUCUACUGCUAGUCAACUAAAUGUUUCUGAACCAG
rnacentral:lncRNA from 1 species